rnacentral:tRNA from 9 species
CUCUAAUAGUUUAUAAAAACAUC